rnacentral:siRNA from 1 species
UUGAUCGAUGCGUUUGCGAAG